AACGGCGCGAGCAGCAUGCCGGAGUGCGCAUGCGCGGCUGCCUCCCGCCGAGCGCCGGCGUUGCCCAGGCUCUGCGUUUCCCCGCACGGCGUUCGAGGCGCGGGCGGAGCUGCCGCAACAGGAAGCGGCGAUCAGAGAAGCCCGGCGCGCGCGGGUCGGGGUGGGGCGGCGUUCUUGCCGGGCCCUAACGGCCGAGCGGUCCCGGCGGCCCGGAGAGGUGGGAGGAUACGAAAUGAGAUAGGACGGGUCGGAUCGGGUUUUAAUAUCUUUGUUCUGUGGAAAAGAGUAAACUUUGAAGCUUCUCAACUUAAAACAUUUAUUGUUGAAGAUGAUGUUCGUUCCGUGGAGUUCAUAGACUUAAAAAGCUGCAUGAUUGAGAUAAUGAGUUUGUCUUCUCCAGUCAGCCAUGCUGACCAUGAAGCUAAACGCUUAUGUAGUGCCAAGAGUAAGUCACAGUUACUGGAAAAUAGCGAUGCAUCAGAGUUGGACAUUGUUGAAGAUCUGAAAAGGAAACUCUGUCAAGCCAAAGAAGAAAAAGUAGACAUAAUCAUUAAACACAAUCAAGAACUGCGUAACUAUGAAAUCCAGAUUGUCAAAUUACGGUCUGAAUUUGAGAAAGGAGAGGCAGUUCGACAAAGUCUGGAGUAUGAAUUGGCAAUUGCCAGAAAAGAUGCUCGUUUGAGAAUAUGUACUGUAGAAGAAGAGUUAAGUGAUGCAAGAAACAAGCUUGCAGAGCUGCAAGUGUUCAAUGAAAAGCUUCAGCAGAGAGUGGUAGAGACUGAGAAAACAUUUCAUAUUGCUCAACAGAAGUGGAAAGAACAACAGCAAAGACUUGCAAGUGAAAAGGAUGAUAUUCUCAGAACACACAAGGAUGAAUAUGAAUUGGUUCUUAAGGAAAGAAGUGAACUAGAAAGUGUUUUGCAGAAGCAGAAUAGUGCACUGCAAAACUUAUGUAAGAAAAUGAAAGAUAUGGAGCUGGAACAUCAUGACUGUUCUGAACUGCUUACUCACCAAGUACACGAGCUUGAAUGCAGAGCUGAACAAGAGGAGCGUCUUAAGAAAGAUCUCGAAGCAGCUAGAGAUAGAAUAAAGCAAUUGGAAGAAAACAUUGAAGCAGAGAGAGCAGCACAUUUGAAAUCCAAAUUCAAUUUGGAAAUCACCCAGAUGAGAAUUCGAGACCUUGAAGGAGCUUUGCAAGUGGAAAAAGUCAGACAAGCAGAAGCUCUUUCAGAUUUAGAGAUGAUCAAGAAGGAGUUCAAAGAGGUAGAAAAUGCAUAUGAGAUAGAAAACCAGAAUGCCCAGGAGAACUUUGAAAAACUCAGUAGAUUAGAAAGAGAGUAUAUCUUCACAAACGAGCAAAUGAACGAGAAGAUUGAGGAAAAGAAGAAGGUAAUUGAAGAUUUGUCUGAGAGACUUCGGGAUAAUGAAAAAACUCACAGAGAAUUACAAGAUAAACUUACAAUGGCCAAGAAACACCAGGUCUUUGUAACAGAGACGUACGAAAACAACAUGAUAGAGCUGGAGUUACUCUUGGACAGCUUUGCUAUGUCAGGCCAGCGGACAGCAGGCACUUGUGAGGACAAAGAUAAACCGUCAGGCUUCUCUGUCCUUGAGACUUUGAGGUGUACCUUGACAGCUUACCAGAACAAGCUGGAAGACGCGUCUAAUGAGCUUGAGAAAAUGAACACUUUGUGUGAAAACACAACAAAAGAGCUUGAGAUAUCCAAAGACAAAAUGUAUGUUUUAAGUCAAGACCUUAAGGAAGCUCAGGAUAAGCUGGCUGAUGCCAAUAAAGAGUUAAAUCAUCUGCAUACUGAGUGUGCAGACAGAGCGGCUUUAAUAGGAACUUUACAAAUGGAACUACAGAAUGUGCAGCAGUGCUGGGAGGAGGAGAAAGUACGUGCCACAGAAUCUGAAAAUGAAAUCCAGAAGCUUACCAGGGCUUACCAGAAGGAUAUGGAGGAGAAGCUAACCUUCCUCCAUGGCUUGUACCAGCAUUUGGUAGCUGGAUGUGUGCUUAUAAAAGAACCAGAAGGCAUCCUAGAUAGAUUCUCUUGGUCUGAGCUUUGUGCAGUCUUACAGGAGAAUGUUGAUGCCCUGAUCUUAGACCUCAGUGGGGCUAAUGAGAAGGUAUCUCACUUAGAAUAUGUUUGUAAGAACAAGUCCGAUACUAUGAAGGAGCUUCAGCAGAGCCAGGAAGAUGCUAUUAGCAAAAUGGCUGAACAGAUGAAAGCACAGGAAAGCUGUUGGCAGAAACAAAAUAAGUAUCUGGAACAGCAGUACUCAGAUCUCCUUGGGGAAGUUCAUGCAAGGGCACAGGAAUACCAAGAAACAGCAGAGAAAAACAAAGAAAAAAUCUGUGUCCUUGAAAAAAGACUGGAGAAAUUGGUCCUUGAAAAUUUCUAUGUGAAAAAUACAUUAACACAGAUUCAGAAGCAGCAUUCAUCUCUCCUGGCAGCAUGUGCACUAUUGGCAGGAGCCCUGUAUCCUCUCUAUGGCCGAUCAUGUGCUAUGUCUAUACAAAGAGACCUUCUUCAAGAUCAGGUCAACAUUUAUGAAUUAGUCAACCAGGAGAUUAGGACUCUUGUUCAUGCUCUCUCGGGUAUAGAAGAAGAGAAGGAAGAUGAUGCAAAAAUUAAGAAACGAAAAUUCAAAGGCCUGAUACGUGUGUUCCGAAGAGGUGUGAUUGCAGUUUUGGCAGCUAACAGACUUAAAGUUCUAGCCCAGUCUUCUAGUUCUCUCUUCUCACUGAUAAAUGGCUUCAAAGAGGGCACUGGAAUUCUAGUUUGUGUAGGGGACUCCAAAGGCAAGCAUAAUAAGACAAGACACAACGAGGAAGGAAUUCAUUGUGUUGAAGCACUCAACUGGUUUACUAGUUCUGAUCUCCUUACUGCAAUAAUCAGUUCUGUCACAGAAUUACAGGAUGUUAUUAGCAAAACAGAUCCAAAGUCUUGUCUUUCCGGACGCUUACUUGUAAGUGCAGCCAGGAACUCCUUUUCAAAACUUAUGGACAAGCUUAAUGUAAUAAUGGCGACUGUUCCAUUAGAUAGCAGCAGGAGUGUUACUUACAUGGAGAAAAACUCCUUGAUACAGAGGCUGGCUCAUGGACUUCAUAAAGUAAAUGCACGAGCCCUGGAAGCUGGAUUGUGUGACAGACUACCCAUUAUGAAAAGCAUAGCAUCCUUGCAGAAGCAAAUAUUUGAAUUUACACAAAGACUUCAUACAGUAGAGGUGGAACGCCGCUCACUGUGCCUCGAACUUGCAGAAUUCAAGUGGAAUUUCAGUAAGAUGAAAAAAGAGGCUGAUAAAGCCCAGAGCCUGAAAGAGCAAUUAAAUUUGUUUAAGCAAUCUAAAUUGAUCGCUCAUGAGAGGUUUGAAAGUGCAUGUGAAGAAUUAAAUAAUGCAUUACAUCGGGAGCAUCAGGCACAAGUGCUAUUGAAUGAACAGGCACAACAGCUACAGGAGUUAAAUAAUAAACUAGAAUUGCACUCCAGUGAAGAAGCAGAUAAAAACCAAGUCUUAAGUGAAACUGUAAAGAGACUCUCUGAGGCAAAGAUGGAGCUGAGAAGAAAAGAUCAAUCUCUGCGUCAGCUCAAUAGACUUCUUACCCAGCUGGAGCAGGACAAGCGUCGGCUGAAAGAGAGCAUCCAUGAUGCAGAGAGUGCCCUCUGCAUGGCAGCGAAAGACAAAGAAUUGAUCAUUAACCAGAUGAAAUCUGUGGAAACUGCUCUUCAUAUGGUCAGAGAUCAGACCUUGCUGUCAUGGACUGCGGCAACCAGGAAUGACUUCACCCUGCAGCUACCCAAACUGCACCUAGAGACCUUUGCAGUGGAAGGGCUGAAAGGCGGGCCAGAGGUUGUAGCAUUUCAGGCCAUGAUUAAAAGUUUUAUGGAUGUCUACCAACUUGCAAGUUCCAGAGUUGACAUGUUAGUGAAAGAAACAGCACCUCAUCAGCUUCGCACUGCAGUCCCGGUGUCCAAGCUCCAAACAGCUUGCCUUCGUGAAAGUGAGAGCUUACAAUUAAAUGUGUUUCAUAAAGUUAGACUAUCAGAUUUUGAAAAAUGGCCAUUGGACGUGACCAACUACUGUGUUCCGUAAACAUUCUGAAAGCCUAUUUUUGCUAGACCUGCUGUGUCCCAAAUACUUAUUUACCUGAUGAAGUGUAACAGUUUAGAUGGAAUCAUUUCGGCUUAUCAGGAAUCAAGAGGGAGUUCAAACAUCACCAUGACUUCAAGCUAGGAAUUCAGCCUGACCAGUGUUGAAUCCCAGAUUUUUUGGCAUUGCAAGCUGAUCUUGACACAUCCUACAACAGUUUUAUGCACAAUAGAGCCAAUUCUCACUCUUCAGUCUAUUCCUUCAGCCUGAAUGUCACAUCGAGUCCCAAAAGAACAAUGGAAAAUGGAUUUUGUAUCAAUAAUCUUCUAGAAGGAAAAAAAUUGCAUUAAUGUAAAAUGAUGCAAUUAAAGUGCAAUUUUGCUGUUACCUUUGAAUUGUAGUUCAGCGUUUGUAUUUUUUGACAUUAAUUUUACUGUUUUAUGAAAAUGUGCAUUCAUACGUUCACAUUUCUAUGCUUCUAGUUCUUUGCAUACCAAAACAGUUAUUUUUUUUAACUUUUAUUUAUUGUGGUUGCUCAUUUUUUAUGUAAUAUAUUUUUAAAUGUUAAAGAAUGACACAUUUUGGGUAA